AGCGUUUAUAGGACGUUUCAAUGUAUAUCCACGCAGGAAAGACCUCUAAAUGUAAACAAUACUAUAUCCGUUGUCGUCAAUCGGAUCUUACAAUUCGACCAGGACGGAUCGUCGUCUUCGCAAAUACUCGUAUCUACAUUUAAUUAGAAAGAAGCAACUCUAAUAAGCCAAUAGAUCGUAAUGCGAUUGGAAAGUGCGAUGUAACAUAUAUCAGCGAUCCGCUCUGAUCUUAGGAAAAAGGAAGGAUUUGCCAACCCGUCGUGUUUCCCAACGUCACGAUUGAUUCGCCAUUACGACAUCGCGUCAGACGCAUUAAAGAUUUAAUUAAAUCAAACCUCGACCCGUAUUGAGAACCGUGCCAGCUACGGUAGGGAUCGUAAUCUUCGAUCGACGGCUCCUUCUCGAUGAUGUCGGUUUGAGAGCAACUGCAGGUCAUCGCCGAGCAUAGAAAUAUGUUAAUGAUAAGCAUUAUGAGAAACAAUAUUCCCAGUGCGACCGCCAACCACAACAGCCAUAACGGAUGGAUGGUGCCGUUUUCGUAGGACGCUUGAACCACUGUGUUGAGAAAUUGUCUUUCGUUAAAAUUUUUAACACGACUAAAGCGUCGAUCAAUUGCAAAUUUUAUAGAUCAACUUUUUACAGUUACAUUGAUCGUUUACCGAGAUAGUUCUGUUUAGACGAUUUAAUGUAAAUUCAAGUAUAGGAAGAGACGUCAGGACGAGCGUAGACGCGUUAAAUUAAUUUAUAAUUAUGGAGGCAACAGUUUAUAAUCGAGGUUUUAAUUUUAAUCUGCUAGAAAAUAACUUACUAGGUUUCUCCCCUGGAUCGAGAACGUAGACGCUGGUGCCGGCAAGAAGGAUUCCUUCCUCGCCGACGACGUUUUGUCCGCCGAUCGAGGAGCCACCCUUUGUCCCCUCGUCCUUGUCAUCGUCGCACAUAGGAGUUCCACAACUUCCUACAAUAUUAUAGCAUAUUAACGUAACGUAAUAUUCAAUAGUUCACGAAUUUGUUUCGUUAGAUAUUAUAUGUAACGAAAGGCGGACGCGUAAUAAAUAAAAUCUAUAAUGCGUGCCGUUCGACGGACGAUAGGUGAAUUAUUUGAAUCGCCUAAAUCGACCUAAAUACGUAACGUUACAACUUGAAUGGUAAUCAUUUGAAACACGGUAUCGCGCGUUCUAGGCUCACCUCUGCACACGGCGAUGUCACAUUGGAAAUGUACUUGUGGGCUGUCGGAAAAGCGGAACAUGGAGAACAAUGUAGCAUCCGCCGUGCCUGCGUUUCGAUCGUAUAUAAAUUUCGUCAUGACUCGUGCUUUUACGGGACACCUAUGGUUGAAAAAGAAGGAUGAAAAAAAAAA